rnacentral:lncRNA from 1 species
UCUUUCCACAUUCCAUGCAUUUAUAUGGUUUCUCUCCAGUGUGAGUUCUUUGAUGUGAACUCAGGUAAGCUCCUUGACUGAAACUCUUUCCACAUUCCAUGCAUUUAUAUGGUUUCUCUCCAGUGUGAGUUCUUUGAUGUGAACUCAGGUAAGCUCCUUGACUGAAACUCUUUCCACAUUCCAUGCAUUUAUAUGGUUUCUCUCCAGUGUGAGUUCUUUGAUGUGAACUCAGGUAAGCUCCUUGACUGAAACUCUUUCCACAUUCCAUGCAUUUAUAUGGUUUCUCUCCAGUGUGAGUUCUUUGAUGUGAACUCAGGUAAGCUCCUUGACUGAAACUCUUUCCACAUUCCAUGCAUUUAUAUGGUUUCUCUCCAGUGUGAGUUCUUUGAUGUGAACUCAGGUAAGCUCCUUGACUGAAACUCUUUCCACAUUCCAUGCAUUUAUAUGGUUUCUCUCCAGUGUGAGUUCUUUGAUGUGAACUCAGGUAAGCUCCUUGACUGAAACUCUUUCCACAUUCCAUGCAUUUAUAUGGUUUCUCCCCAGUGUGAGUUCUUUGAUGUGUGCUCAGGUGAGUGCUGUUAUUGAAGCUCUUUCCACAUUCCAUGCAUGUAUAUGGUUUCUCCCCAGUGUGAGUUCUUUGAUGGGAACUGAUGCUACCGCUCUGACUGAAGCUCUUUGAAAACUGGUAUAGUCUCUCACCUGUCAGAGGGUUUUCACGUGAAGUACAGUCACUGUGCAUUGUGAUUCUCUUUCCUUGUUCUAUGCAUUGACUUUGUUUCUCCUCUGGGUGGACUGUGUCAUGUCUGUCAUCUGAGGUUCUCUUGAAUAUUUAUCUGCCCAGAGAACCUUUUCUCCUUCCUUUUCCUUGUUUAUUUUUUCAGGUGAUCAGAAGUGCAUGUUCAUCAACAGCAAAAUCAGGAGAUUUACUUUUUCCUCCUGUUUUCUGGCUUCUCCUCUUCCCUUUUCCCUUUUUUCAGUUUGUAGAAGUGUUUUCGUGCUUCAUCCUUGGGUUUUUUUCCACUGAAAGAAUUACUCCCUCCAUAGAACUCCAGUUGUCCUCUUCAUCACCUAAUGGAGAGAGAGAAAGAGAUGAAAGAGAAAUCCUAUCUUCAAAAAGUGGAACCAGGGAACUACAGACCUGUCAGCCUGAAAUCAAUCUCAGGCAAAAUGUUUGUUCUGAUUACAAAGCAGACACUCUGCAAGCAGAUUGAAAACAUUUCAGUAUAAACUGAAAGCCAACAGAGAAAGACUCAAAGAAUCGGUCAUGU